rnacentral:rRNA from 1 species
CUCGGAGUUUAUCUGGCUCAGGAUGAACGCUAGCGGCAGGCCUAACACAUGCAAGUCGAGGGGUAGCAGGAUUAAGCUUGCUUAAUUGCUGACGACCGGCGCACGGGUGCGUAACGCGUAUGCAACCUACCUUAUACUGGGGUAUAGCCCGGAGAAAUUCGGAUUAAUCCCCCAUAGUACUAUUUGAUCGCAUGGUUGAAUAGUUAAAGCAUUGCGGUAUAAGAUGGGCAUGCGUCCUAUUAGCUAGAUGGUGAGGUAACGGCUCACCAUGGCUACGAUAGGUAGGGGGCCUGAGAGGGUGGUCCCCCACACUGGUACUGAGACACGGACCAGACUCCGUACGGGAGCAGCAGUGAGGAAUUUGGACAAUGGACGCAAGUCUGAUCCCAGCCA